rnacentral:lncRNA from 1 species
AAGAAGGUAACAAUUCCAAUAAUCAACUAUGACUUCUACUAAGCUGUGAGAAUUUAAAUCAAUCAUGACUUCUCACAAUGAGGCAAGAGUUUGAUAAUGAAGAUAAAAGUAUUGUGUUAAAUAACAGUGUAAUUCAGGAUUAAAUAAUAUCCCACAAUCUGAAAUCACUACCAACUGAAGGCCCGGUCAAGUGAGAAGCUGGAAAAGCCUAUACCAUAAAGAGGAAAUCACUAGAGAUGCAAAAAAAAACCCGAUUUUCCUCAAAGCUGAAGAUCCCCAUCAGAGUGCGAGCACCAAAAAGACCAAGAAACAAGAGAGUCAGUAGUGCAUAACUGGACACUAACCUUUCCAAAUCUAGUUCUCUGUUAUGGUGUCACUGUGUGGUCUACCCCUACAUCAAACAAACAAAAUCAAGCUGACAUGGUAAACAAAAGAAACGAGAAGAUAAAUAGAGAGAAUACUCAGAGGCAGAUCCAAGAUACUCAUUAUAUUUUUAAAGUUAUGGGUUCAUAUCUACUAUUUUUACAAUUUUUAAUGAAUUUUUACAUACAAAUUUUUAUUCCGCGUCGAGAAUUAUGGGUUCAGUUGAACCCGUCCUGAGAACACUACAUCCGCCUAUGAGAAUACCAAUGUAGAGGAGAACUUUAUGUGGCAGAAUUGAAUAUUUAUCAGGUCUCCAGAACCAAGAGGUCCCAUCGGUUGGAUCGUUGAAGAAAAUAAGCAUCUGGGGUAACACCUGAGCACACUUUACACACGGAAAAUAAAGACUACGUGUACCUUAAUC